rnacentral:rRNA from 1 species
CCCUUAGAUGCUCGGGGCCGCACGCGCGCUACACUGAAGGAAUCAGCACGUCUUUCUCCUUGUCCGAAAGGACUGGGUAACCCGCUGAACCUCCUUCGUGCUAGGGAUUGGGGCUUGUAAUUCUUCCCCAUGAACGAGGAAUUCCCAGUAAGCGCGAGUCAUAAGCUCGCGUUGAUUACGUCCCUGCCCUUUGUACACACCGCCCGUCGCUACUACCGAUUGGAUGGUUUAGUGAGAUCCUCGGAUUGGUCCCGGAGCGGCCUCUGGUCGUGCCGGAGUGCCGAAAAGAAUGUCGAACUUGAUCAUCUAGAGGAAGUAAAAGUCGUAACA